AUUGAACGCUGGCGGCGUGCCUAACACAUGCAAGUCGAGCGGUAACAGGUGUAGCAAUACAUGCUGACGAGCGGCGGACGGGUGAGUAAUGCUUGGGAAUCUACCCAGUAGUGGGGAAUAACCAGUCGAAAGAUUGGCUAAUUCCGCAUACGUCCUCUCUUCACAUCGGAGAGAGGAGAAAGCGGGGACGUAAGGCCUCGCGCCACUGGAUGAGCCCAAGCGGAUUAGCUAGUUGGUAGGGUAACGGCCUACCAAGGCGACAAUCCGUAGCUGGUCUGAGAGGACGACCAGCCACACUGGGACGUGAGACACGGCCCAGACUCCUACGGGAGGCAGCAGUGGGGAAUAAUUGGACAAUGGGGAAACCCUAGAUCCAGCGACGCCGCGUGUGUGAAGAAGGCCUGCGGGUUGUAAAGC
rnacentral:rRNA from 1 species